rnacentral:rRNA from 1 species
GUAGCGACAAACAGUGUGAGAAACACUGUCGCCGAAAGUCCAAGGGUUCCUGCGCAAGGUUAAUCCGCGCAGGGUGAGCCGGCCCCUAAGGCGAGGGCGAAAGCCGUAGUCGAUGGGAACCACGUUAAUAUUCGUGGGCCUGCUGGAGGUGACGAAUACCGAUAGUCGUUCAAUCUUACUGGAUUGAUUGGGCGGUGUAGGUGUUCCAGGAAAUAACCCCAGCGUAUAGACCGUACCCGAAACCGACACAGGUGGACUGGUAGAGCAUACCAAGGCGCUUGAGAGAACGAUCUUGAAGGAACUAGGCAAAUUGCUCUCGUAACUUCGGAAGAAGAGAGACCUCGCGUUGGGCAACCAGUGCGGGGUGGCACAGACUAGGGGGUAGCGACUGUUUACUAAAAACACAGGGCUCUGCGAACUCGCAAGAGGACGUAUAGGGUCUGACGCCUGCCCGGUGCUGGAAGGUUAAGGAGAGGGGUGCAAGCUCUGAACCGAAGCCCCAGUAAACGGCGGCCGUAACAAUAACGGUCCUAAGGUAGCGAAAUUCCUUGUCGGGUAAGUUCCGACCUGCACGAGGGCGUAACGACUUCCCCACUGUCUCCAAGAUCGACUCAGCGAAAUUGAACUCUCCGUGAAGAUGCGGAGUACCCGUGGCUAGACGGAAAGACCCCGUGCACCUUUACUACAGCUUUGCAGUGGCAUUAGAGGAUGGAUGUGUAGGAUAGGCGGGAGCCUUUGAAGCGCAGGCGCUAGCUUGUGUGGAGGCAACCUUGAAAUACCGCCCUUCUGUUCUUUGAUGUCUAACCAAGAUCCGUAUAUCCGGACCUGGGACCCUGCAUGGCGGGUAGUUUGACUGGGGCGGUCGCCUCCCAAAGAGUAACGGAGGCGCGCGAUGGUAGGCUCAGACUGGUCGGAAAUCAGUCGUCGAGUGUAAUGGCACAAGCCUGCCUGACUGCGAGAGCGACAGUUCGAGCAGAGACGAAAGUCGGUCAUAGUGAUCCGGUGGUCCCGCGUGGAAGGGCCAUCGCUCAACGAAUAAAAGGUACGCCGGGGAUAACAGGCUGAUGACCCCCAAGAGUCCAUAUCGACGGGGUCGUUUGGCACCUCGAUGUCGGCUCAUCACAUCCUGGGGCUGGAGCAGGUCCCAAGGGUAUGGCUUUUCGCCAUUUAAAGUGGUACGUGAGCUGGGUUUAGAACGUCGUGAGACAGUUCGGUCCCUAUCUACCAUGGGUGUCGGAGAAUUGAGAGGAGCUGUCCCUAGUACGAGAGGACCGGGAUGGACGUACCUCUGGUGUACCGAUUGUGGCGCCAGCCGCAUCGUCGGGUAGCUAAGUACGGAAGGGAUAACCGCUGAAAGCAUCUAAGCGGGAAGCCCCCCUCGAAACAAGUUCUCCCUUGAGAGCCGUGGAAGACCACCACGUUGAUAGGCCAGGUGUGGAAGUGCGGUAACGCAUGGAGCUAACUGGUACUAAUCGCUCA